rnacentral:rRNA from 2 species
UGCAUGUCUAAGUAUAAGCAAUUAUACGGCGAAACUGCGAAUGGCUCAUUAUAUAAGUUAUCGUUUAUUUGAUAAUACUUUACUACUUGGAUAACCGUGGUAAUUCUAGAGCUAAUACAUGCUAAAAAUCCCGACUUCGGAAGGGUUGUAUUUAUUAGAUUAAAAACCAAUGCCCUCUGGGCUCUCUGGUGAAUCAUAAUAACUUGUCGAAUCGCAAGGCCUUGUGCCGGCGAUGGCUCAUUCAAAUUUCUUCCCUAUCAACUUUCGAUGUUUGGGUAUUGGCCAAACAUGGUGGCAACGGGUAACGGAGGGUUAGGGCUCGACCCCGGAGAAGGAGCCUGAGAAACGGCUACUACAUCCAAGGAAGGCAGCAGGCGCGCAAAUUACCCAAUCCCGACACGGGGAGGUAGUGACAAUAAAUACUGAUACAGGGCUCUUAUGGGUCUUGUAAUCGGAAUGAGUACAAUUUAAAUCCCUUAACGAGGAACAAUUGGAGGGCAAGUCUGGUGCCAGCAGCCGCGGUAAUUCCAGCUCCAAUAGCGUAUAUUAAAGUUGUUGUGGUUAAAAAGCUCGUAGUUGAACCUUGGGCCUGGCUGGCCGGUCCGCCUCACCGCGUGCACUGGUCCGGCCGGGCCUUUCCCUCUGUGGAACCUCAUGCCCUUCACUGGGUGUGACGGGGAAACAGGACUUUUACUUUGAAAAAAUUAGAGUGCUCCAGGCAGGCCUAUGCUCGAAUACAUUAGCAUGGAAUAAUAAAAUAGGACGUGUGGUUCUAUUUUGUUGGUUUCUAGGACCGCCGUAAUGAUUAAUAGGGACAGUCGGGGGCAUCAGUAUUCAAUUGUCAGAGGUGAAAUUCUUGGAUUUAUUGAAGACUAACUACUGCGAAAGCAUUUGCCAAGGAUGUUUUCAUUAAUCAGGAACGAAAGUUAGGGGAUCGAAGACGAUCAGAUACCGUCGUAGUCUUAACCAUAAACUAUGCCGACUAGGGAUCGGACGAUGUUAUAUUCUUGACGCGUUCGGCACCUUACGAGAAAUCAAAGUGCUUGGGCUCCAGGGGGAGUAUGGUCGCAAGGCUGAAACUUAAAGAAA